UCGGCCCUAGCUCGUCGCCAGUGAGUGCGUCCUGGAGGACCCGCCUCGAGGUGCUGCUGGGCGCGGCCCGGGCCAUCGAGUACUUGCACCGUGGUGCGGAUCCGCUGGUCAUCCACCGCAAUGUCAGCUCCUCCAACAUCCUCCUGGACGCAAGCUGGACGCCGCGCCUGUCCGGCUUCGGCUCAGCGGUGUUUCAAGAGGCCGGCAGGGAGCACGGCGGCCAGCCCGUCGGGGAGGUCAUGGGCACGUUCGGGUACAUCGACCCGGCGUACAGCUACACGACGCACAUCAGUCCGGCGAGUGACGUGUACAGCUUCGGGGUGGUGAUGCUGGAGGCGCUGACGGGGAGGCCGCCGGUCAUCUACGGCGUGACCCUCCUCGUGGACUCCACGCUCCCCAACUUACAGAGUGGAAAGCUGCGGGAUGUGCUGGAUCGCCACCCGGCGCUGCAGCC
rnacentral:rRNA from 1 species